AGCAGUCUUUGUAGACAAUACGAGGGGCUGGCGACCGGCAAACGGGUGCGGAACACGUACGCAACCUUUCCUUUAACUGGAAGAUAGCCCACCGAAAGGUGGAUUAUACUCCAUAACAUAUUGAAGAGGCAUCUCUUUGAUAUUAAAGCUCCGGCGGUUAAAGAUGGGCGUGCGUCUGAUUAGGUAGUUGGCGGGGUAACGGCCCACCAAGCCUUCGAUCAGUAGCUGAUGUGAGAGCAUGAUCAGCCACACGGGCACUGAGACACGGGCCCGACUCCUACGGGAGGCAGCAGUAAGGAAUAUUGGUCAAUGGACGCAAGUCUGAACCAGCCAUGCCGCGUGGAGGAUGAAGGCCCUCUGGGUUGUAAACUUCUUUUCUUUGGGACGAAACCCCUGUUUCUACGGGGACUGACGGUACCAGAGGAAUAAGCACCGGCUAACUCCGUG
rnacentral:rRNA from 1 species